GUCAGCUCCACAGCUUAGAUUUGCACCCAUAUAGUCAGUAUUGUGAUUAUAGACUAUAAACUGCAUGAGGAAUGCAAACAAUUCUCAUGAAAAGGCUAGGGAGAUAGUAUUUUCAGGAAUAAAAGGAACAUAACACCCUUCCUAGCAUUGACCAUUCUCCUGGGGGUCUCUUUAUUGCUGGCAGGCUGCUUUUGAAGGCACCUUUUGGCUUUUUUGUGACGAUGCAGCAAGCCAACAGACCUGGACCUACAAGCUAUCUUCUAUACCCAUCUGAAGAGCAAGUGGUUUUUGUGCCCCAAACCCCGAAGACUUCUAAAACACCAGACCGAGUGUUUUAGCAGCAGGAAUUGAGGAAGAGGCUGCUGUGACCACAUCUGUGGCAAGAGGACACCAAUGUCCCCAGCUGGGUAUUUCACAUCAGACACCCUGCAGGGAGGGUUUCCCAUGACCAAACUUGCAUCAUGCAGAGGGGAGAAACACAGGUACUUGGUG
rnacentral:lncRNA from 1 species